rnacentral:lncRNA from 13 species
AGGGACACCUGGGGUGGGGUUUGAGGAACAUCUGGGUCCUCAUCAUGGAGAUCUUCACUGUGAGUCUGCUGGGCUGGGGACAUCUGGGGUGGGGUUUGAGGAACAUCUGGGUCCUCAUCGUGGAGAUCUUCACUGUGAGGACACCUGGGGAGUGAGGGACACCUGGGGUGGGGUUUGAGGAACAUCUGGGUCCUCAUCGUGGUGAUCUUCACCGUGAGACACCCAGGGGACAGGGACACAGCUGGGGUGGGGUUUGAGGAGCAUCUGGGUCCUCCUGGACCCCGUGCGCACGACCUCCAACGACAUCGUGGAGAUCUUCACCGUGAGGACACCUGGGGGGUGAGGGACACCUGGGGUGGGGUUUGAGGAACAUCCAGGUCCUCAUCUUGGAGAUCUUCACUGUGAGUCUCCUGGGGGGUGAUGGACAUCUGGGUCCUCAUCAUGGGGUGGGGUUUGAGGAACAUCUGGGUCCUCAUCGUGGAGAUCUUCACCGUGAGACACCUGGGCUGGGGACACCCAGGGGACAGGAACACACCUGGGGUGGGGUUUGAGGAACAUCUGGGUCCUCAUCAUGGAGAUCUCCACCAUGGGUCUCCUGGGCUGGGGACAUCUGGGGUGGGGUUUGAGGAACAUCCAGGUCCUCAUCGUGGAGAUCUUCACCGUGAGUCUCCUGGGGGGUGAUGGACAUCUGGGUCCUCAUCGUGGGGUGGGGUUUGAGGAACAUCUGGGUCCUCAUCUUGGAGAUCUUCACCAUGAGGACACCUGGAGGUGUGAUGGACAUCUGGAGUGGGGUUUGAGGGACAUUUGGGUCCUCAUCAUGGAGAUCUUCCCCGUGAGGACACCUGGGGGGGUUGAAGAUGGGGUUCUUGGGAUCCCCAACCCCUGGCUGGAUUCUGACCAUUCCCAACACCCCUUGGUCGAUCCCAAAUUCCCCAUGGAUGGAUUUUGGGCAUUCCCAACCCCUUGGCUGCAUUUUGGCCAUUCCCAACCCCUUGGCUGCACUUUGACCGUUCCCAACACCCCUGGGACAAUCCCGAAUUCCCCUUGGCUGCAUUUUGACCAUUCCCAACCCCUGGAUUUUGGCCAUUCCCCUUGGGUGGAUUUUGGCCAUUCCCCUUGGCUGCAUUUUGGCCAUUCCCAACCCCUGGAUUUUGGCCAUUCCCAACCCCUGGAUUUCGACCAUUCUCCUUGGAUGGAUUUUGGCCAUUCCCAACCCCUGGAUUUUGGCCAUUCCCCUUGGAUGGAUUUU